AACGAACGCUGGCGGCAUGCCUAACACAUGCAAGUCGAACGAGACCUUCGGGUCUAGUGGCGCACGGGUGCGUAACGCGUGGGAAUCUGCCCUUAGGUUCGGAAUAACUUCGGGAAACUGAAGCUAAUACCGGAUGAUGACGUAAGUCCAAAGAUUUAUCGCCUAAGGAUGAGCCCGCGUUGGAUUAGCUAGUUGGUGAGGUAAAGGCUCACCAAGGCGACGAUCCAUAGCUGGUCUGAGAGGAUGAUCAGCCACACUGGGACUGAGACACGGCCCAGACUCCUACGGGAGGCAGCAGUGGGGAAUAUUGGACACUGGGCGAAAGCCUGAUCCAGCAAUGCCGCGUGAGUGAUGAAGGCCUUAGGGUUGUAAAGCUCUUUACCCGGGAUGAUAAUGACAGUACCGGGAGAAUAAGCUCCGGCUAACUCCGUGCCAGCAGCCGCGGU
rnacentral:rRNA from 1 species